rnacentral:rRNA from 1 species
UCGAGGAUCUUCGUCAAUGGGCGCAAGCCUGAACGAGCGACGCCGCGUGCGCGAUGAAGGCCUUCGGGUUGUAAAGCGCGAAAGUGGGGAGAAAGCCGCAAGGUUGAUCAAUCCACAGUAAGGACGGGCUAAGUUCGUGCCAGCAGCCGCGGUAAGACGAACUGUCCUAACGUUGUUCGGAAUCACUGGGCUUAAAGGGCGCGUAGGCGGUCGAUCAAGUCAGGGGUGAAAUCCUGCAGCUUAACUGUAGAAGUGCCUUUGAUACUGGUCGUCUCGAGGGAGGUAGGGGUGUGUGGAACUUCCAGUGGAGCGGUGAAAUGCGUUGAUAUUGGAAGGAACGCCGGAGGCGAAAGCGACGCACUGGACCUCUUCUGACGCUGAGGCGCGAAAGCUAGGGGAGCAAACGGGAUUAGAUACCCCCGUAGUCC